rnacentral:rRNA from 4 species
GGUUAAGCGACUAAGCGUACACGGUGGAUGCCCUGGCAGUCAGAGGCGAUGAAGGGCGUGCUAAUCUGCGAUAAGCGCCGGUAAGGUGAUAUGAACCGUUAUAACCGGCGAUACCCGAAUGGGGAAACCCAGUGUGAUUCGUCACACUAUCAUUAACUGAAUCCAUAGGUUAAUGAGGCGAACCGGGGGAACUGAAACAUCUAAGUACCCCGAGGAAAAGAAAUCAACCGAGAUUCCCCCAGUAGCGGCGAGCGAACGGGGAGGAGCCCAGAGCCUGAAUCAGCAUGUGUGUUAGUGGAAGCGUCUGGAAAGGCGCGCGAUACAGGGUGACAGCCCCGUACACAAAAGCGCAUGUGCUGUGAGCUCGAUGAGUAGGGCGGGACACGUGGUAUCCUGUCUGAAUAUGGGGGGACCAUCCUCCAAGGCUAAAUACUCCUGACUGACCGAUAGUGAACCAGUACCGUGAGGGAAAGGCGAAAAGAACCCCGGCGAGGGGAGUGAAAAAGAACCUGAAACCGUGUACGUACAAGCAGUGGGAGCACAGGUUUACCUGUGUGACUGCGUACCUUUUGUAUAAUGGGUCAGCGACUUAUAUUCUGUAGCAAGGUUAACCGAAUAGGGGAGCCGGAGGGAAACCGAGUCUUAAUUGGGCGUUAAGUUGCAGGGUAUAGACCCGAAACCCGGUGAUCUAGCCAUGGGCAGGUUGAAGGUUGGGUAACACUAACUGGAGGACCGAACCGACUAAUGUUGAAAAAUUAGCGGAUGACCUGUGGCUGGGGGUGAAAGGCCAAUCAAACCGGGAGAUAGCUGGUUCUCCCCGAAAGCUAUUUAGGUAGCGCCUCGUGAAUUCAUCUCCGGGGGUAGAGCACUGUUUCGGCUAGGGGGCCAUCCCGGCUUACCAACCCGAUGCAAACUGCGAAUACCGGAGAAUGUUAUCACGGGAGACACACGGCGGGUGCUAACGUCCGUCGUGAAGAGGGAAACAACCCAGACCGCCAGCUAAGGUCCCAAAGUCAUGGUUAAGUGGGAAACGAUGUGGGAAGGCCCAGACAGCCAGGAUGUUGGCUUAGAAGCAGCCAUCAUUUAAAGAAAGCGUAAUAGCUCACUGGUCGAGUCGGCCUGCGCGGAAGAUGUAACGGGGCUAAACCAUGCACCGAAGCUGCGGCAGCGAACGUAUCACCCAAGACAACUUUACGGAGUUGACGAUUGACGGAGCGAAGCGACGUCAAAGCGUUCAUUAAAGUCGAGUUGGCUUAGGGAUACGUUCGUUGGGUAGGGGAGCGUUCUGUAAGCCUGUGAAGGUGUGUCGUGAGGCAUGCUGGAGGUAUCAGAAGUGCGAAUGCUGACAUAAGUAACGAUAAAGCGGGUGAAAAGCCCGCUCGCCGGAAGACCAAGGGUUCCUGUCCAACGUUAAUCGGGGCAGGGUGAGUCGACCCCUAAGGCGAGGCCGAAAGGCGUAGUCGAUGGGAAACGGGUUAAUAUUCCCGUACUUGGUGUUACUGCGAAGGGGGGACGGAGAAGGCUAUGUUGGCCGGGCGACGGUUGUCCCGGUUUAAGCGUGUAGGUGUGUGUUCCAGGUAAAUCCGGUUCACUUUAACACUGAGGCGUGACGACGAGGCACUACGGUGCUGAAGCAACAAAUGCCCUGCUUCCAGGAAAAGCCUCUAAGCAUCAGGUAACACGAAAUCGUACCCCAAACCGACACAGGUGGUCAGGUAGAGAAUACCAAGGCGCUUGAGAGAACUCGGGUGAAGGAACUAGGCAAAAUGGUGCCGUAACUUCGGGAGAAGGCACGCUGACACGUAGGUGAAGUGAUUUACUCAUGGAGCUGAAGUCAGUCGAAGAUACCAGCUGGCUGCAACUGUUUAUUAAAAACACAGCACUGUGCAAACACGAAAGUGGACGUAUACGGUGUGACGCCUGCCCGGUGCCGGAAGGUUAAUUGAUGGGGUCAGCGUAAGCGAAGCUCCUGAUCGAAGCCCCGGUAAACGGCGGCCGUAACUAUAACGGUCCUAAGGUAGCGAAAUUCCUUGUCGGGUAAGUUCCGACCUGCACGAAUGGCGUAAUGAUGGCCAGGCUGUCUCCACCCGAGACUCAGUGAAAUUGAACUCGCUGUGAAGAUGCAGUGUACCCGCGGCAAGACGGAAAGACCCCGUGAACCUUUACUAUAGCUUGACACUGAACAUUGAGCCUUGAUGUGUAGGAUAGGUGGGAGGCUUUGAAGUGUGGACGCCAGUCUGCAUGGAGCCGACCUUGAAAUACCACCCUUUAAUGUUUGAUGUUCUAACGUGGACCCGUAAUCCGGGUUGCGGACAGUGUCUGGUGGGUAGUUUGACUGGGGCGGUCUCCUCCUAAAGAGUAACGGAGGAGCACGAAGGUUGGCUAAUCCUGGUCGGACAUCAGGAGGUUAGUGCAAUGGCAUAAGCCAGCUUGACUGCGAGCGUGACGGCGCGAGCAGGUGCGAAAGCAGGUCAUAGUGAUCCGGUGGUUCUGAAUGGAAGGGCCAUCGCUCAACGGAUAAAAGGUACUCCGGGGAUAACAGGCUGAUACCGCCCAAGAGUUCAUAUCGACGGCGGUGUUUGGCACCUCGAUGUCGGCUCAUCACAUCCUGGGGCUGAAGUAGGUCCCAAGGGUAUGGCUGUUCGCCAUUUAAAGUGGUACGCGAGCUGGGUUUAGAACGUCGUGAGACAGUUCGGUCCCUAUCUGCCGUGGGCGCUGGAGAACUGAGGGGGGCUGCUCCUAGUACGAGAGGACCGGAGUGGACGCAUCACUGGUGUUCGGGUUGUCAUGCCAAUGGCACUGCCCGGUAGCUAAAUGCGGAAGAGAUAAGUGCUGAAAGCAUCUAAGCACGAAACUUGCCCCGAGAUGAGUUCUCCCUGAGACUUAGAGUCUCCUGAAGGAACGUUGAAGACGACGACGUUGAUAGGCCGGGUGUGUAAGCGCAGCGAUGCGUUGAGCUAACCGGUACUAAUGAACCGUGAGGCUUAACCUU